UCUACACAAAAUAAACAAUGGAACUUUGGAACAACCUUGAGAACAGGUUGGGCCAAUCCAAUGAGGCCAAACUAUAUCACCUACAAAGGGAGAUAUCUAAGUCAGUUCAAGGAAAUAACAGUGUAGCGGGCUAUUUUACAACUCUAAAGAGACUAUGGAAUGAGUUGGAUUCUCUGAGCAACACACCUAGGAUGCAUCCGACUGUGUGUGUGAUGGAAAGAAGACGGUCACUAAGUUUUUCGAAGAACAAAGAGUUAUUCAAUUUCUUAUGGGACUUAAUGAUGUGCAUGGACAAGCAAAAGUAAAUAUUCUUAUGAUGAAUCCUCUACAUCGCUUAGACCAUGACUAUUUUUUGAGCUUUCAAUACCCUUUCUGAUGGAGUAUCUGUGGUAGGAACUCAAACAAAGUUCCAACAAAGGAAUAACAAUCAGAAUCAAAAAUCUUGAUCUGCCGCUCAGAAGUUUGGAAGCAGUCCACAAAAGUUCAAAUUAAGGAAGUGUAAAUAUAACCCUAAUGUCACAUGCUCUCACUACAUGAGAGUACGAUAUGUGUGAGCAGACUGCUAUAGAUUGAUAGGGUUCCCAGAAGAUUUUUAGUUUUCCAAACAACAAAACAAUUAUCAGGGAGCAGUAAAAGGAAAUGCAAUAGUAACAUGACAAAAGGAAGGAGUAGCAACUCCUAAGAGUGAGGGAAACAUCAACAACAAGCCAUAAAUGUUCAGGAAGGAGCAAGUUUCUGAGCUAGUUAACUUAAUCAAGAAGGUGUAGAUUGGGAACUCAGGACAUACAAGUGCAUAAAUCAAUGCCAAUGUAGUGGUUGGUACAAUCCUUAAGUAUACUGUAACUUGUCUUUCAGAUUUUUAAUACUAAAACAUGGAUCAUUGAUUCAGGAGCUUAUGAGCAUAUGUGUUUUGAUUCAAGCAUAUUCGUAGAUUUGACUCCUCUUCCUGUUCCUUUACAUAUUAGUCUACCUAAAUCUUUUCAAUUAUAUGUUACACACAGAGGUACUUCUAUUCAGUCAGAUAUGAUCCUUAAAAGAGUUCUUCAUGUGCCUUCUUUCAGAUAUAACUUAUUGUCUGUUCAUAAGUUAUUUAGUCAAUUCAAAUUCUCUUUAAAUCUAACUUUAGAUGGUUUUCUAAUUCAAGUUCCUUUAAUGAGGUGGAUACAAGUUUUUGCUGAAGUAAGAGAUGUUUUAUAUCUAUUCAGGGCCACUAGUGUAACUUCUGGCAUUUUAUCUUAUCAAGAUGUAGUUUUAAUUCCAAAAGGAAGAAAUGCCAACAAUAGUUAUAGUUCAGUUUCUUUCUAAACACCUUUAGUAGCUAUUUUGUUUCUAAUGUAAGCCAAUGUCAUGUUAGAUUGGGUCAUCUACCCUUUUUAAUGAUGAAGAAUCUUAGUUUUAUUAAUUUCCCUUCAAAUUUUGAUUAUAUGUGUAAUAUUUUUCCUUAAGCUAAACAAACUAGACUCCCCUUGCCUCUAAGUCAUAUUAAAACCCAAACGAUUUUUGACUUGAUUCACAUUGAUACUUGGGGACCAUUCAGGACUGAGAUAUAUAAUGGGUUUAAGUAUUUUCUAACUAUUAUAGAUGACUACAAUAAAACCACAUUGGCUUUUCUGUUAAGUUGCAAAAGUAAUGCUUUUCCAAUUCUAAAAUCCUUCUUUAGUAUGGUAGAAAGGCAAUUUAACAUGAAGGUAAAAAGGGUAAGGUCUGAUAAUGGAAAGGAAUUAGGCAAAGGACCGCAGGAAGUUUCCUUCCUUAAAUCACAAUGUAUAUUGCAUAAAACAUCUUGUGUGGAAACACGCUAACAGAAUGGGAUGGUUGUGAGAAAACGUAGGCAUAUUUUGGAAGUUGCAACUGGUUUUUUUUGUUAGUAUAAGGUUUCUAUUCAAUACUGGGGAGAAUGUAUGCUGACAGCCACUUAUCUCAUCAACAGGAUACCUUCUAGAGUGUUGAAAGGCAAUGGACCCUAUAGGGUUCUUCUUGGGAGACCACCUACCCAUGAUUUACUUAGAUCUUUUGGAUGUCUAUGCUAUGCAUCUAAUUUGGCUCAUAACAGGAGUAAGUGUGAGCCAAGAGUUAAGAGAUGUGUUCUUAGGAUAUGCAGAAUGUCAAAAGGGUUACAAAGUUCUGGUAAUUGAAACGGAAAUGUAUUUAUUUCCAGAUAUGUCAAGUUCAUGAAGAUCAUUUCCCUUUCACUUUGUCCACACAACACCUCAACCUUUGUUUUUUCCUUCUACCACUUCUUAUGACAUUCCACCUUUUGUUCAACCACCUAUCAACACCAUCUCUACACAUGAAGCAGAUUCAGUUGUCUCCCUUUUUCAUUCUACACCAAGCAGGAAACAUGGGAUCGAAGAUCAAACCACUAACCAUCCUGAACCCUCAUUGCCAAGUUUUGGGAUAGCCAAUUCACCAUAUUCUUCACCUAGUACUUCAUCAACCAAUCAAACUAACACUCUCAGUCCUUCUAUUUCAUCUCUCAUACCCACUUUUUCUAUUCUACCACAUCCAAUUAGAAAAUUUGAAAAGGAUUACUCAAAUACCAACAUACCUAAAUGGUUAUGUAUUCAUAUUCCUUACUGGUCUCAACUCCUCUUAUUUCACUUAGUUAGCUAAACCUACUAUUUUCUCUUUUGGAGCACUCACACUCAAUAAUCAGAAUGCUCUUAAGAGUGUGUCCACCAUUUUAGAACCAACAAGUUACCGUGAAGCUUGUAAGGAAGCAAGUUGGAGAAAGGCAAUGGAGGUUGAAAUUGCAGCUCUAGAGCUGAAUCAUACUUGAUAUGUGGUGACCUUACUACCAGGCAAGAAGGCUUUACCAUGAAAAUGGGUUUACGAAGUUAAACAUAAGUCAGAUGGUACUAAAAACACUGAAGGCAAGGUUAGUAGUAUGGGGGGACAUACAAAGAGAAGGAAUUGACUAUUCAAAGACUUUUUUCUCUAGUGGUGAAAGUGACCACAAUUAGAUGUCUCUUAACAGUAGCUGUGAAGAAAGUCUAGCAUGUGUCACAACUUGGUAUGAACAAUGUCUUUUUACAUGAAGACUUGCAAGAAGAAUUCUACAUGAAAUUUCCUGAUGCACUAUCACCUCCCGAUCAUACUAAAGUAUGUCUUUUGAGAAAGUCACAGUAUGGUUUAAAGCAAGCCUCUAGGCAGUGGUAUGUCAGGCUUGCUGGGGUAUUGAGAUAUUAGGGCUAUUUAAGUUUCCUCAAUGACUGUUCAUUUUUCUACAAACAAUUUGGGGACCUAGUUUCUAUCAUAGUUGUCUAUGUCGAUGGUAUUUUGCUUACAAGCAGUGAUACUGAAGGAAACAAUCAAAUAACAGCUUUUCUCAAUACUGAAUUCAAAGUUAAAAACUUAGGAGACAUUCAUUAUUUCCUAAGGAUGGAAAUUCUUCGAGAAAAAUAGGGGUUCAUUAUUAGUCAAAGGCAGUUUACCUUGGAUCUUUUGAAGGAAUUUGACUUUUCUGGCUCGGCAGUCUCUUCACCACUUGAUCUUUAUUCCAAAAUCAGCGUUGAUGACGGGCGUCUUUUUUCAAAUCCCACUCUUUUAUGACAUUUGGUGGGCAAACUCAAUUACCUCACAAACACUCGCCCUGGAUUGUCUUUUGUUGUACUUUGUCUUAGCCAAUUUAUGCAAAGGCCAUGCCUUUCUUAUUUCACUACUGGCAUACGUGUUCUACGCGAUCUGUCUGCAGAUCAUUCACAAGGUAUUUUUCUAUCUUCAAAUCAUUCAUCGAUUUGAUAGCUUUUUGUGAUUCCGACUAAGAGGCUUGCAAAGAUUCUAGGAGGUCGGUCAGUGGGUUCUUCAUCAUCUUGGUGGAGCACCAAUUUUCUAGAGAUUGAAAAAGUAAGUAUCAAUAUCUCUUUCAUCUAUAGUGGCAGAGUAUAGGUCUAUGAGAAGAGUUACUGCAUAAAUUACCUGGUUGGUAUGUUCUUGCAGGUUUGUCUUCUCCACCUUCACUUCAUAUUCCGGUUCACUCCAAUAGCUAAGCAGCAAUAAACAUCGCCCGUAACCCUGUCUUUCACGAGCGAACAAAUCAGUUGAGCUCAAUUAUCAGUUUGACCACCAACAGUAAUCUCCGGGCUAAUAACCCUUUCUUUUGUCCCAUCUCACCAGCAAAUCGCCGAUCUUUUUACCAAACCUCUGCUAGGAGCUUCACAUAAUCUCAUCUUGCACAAGUUGGAGGUCUAUUAUCUCCCCUCCAACUUGAGGAGGGAUGUAGAGAAGAAGGAAGAAAGCUUUGGUUUUGAGUCUUCAAUCGAUGAGAGAAAGAAAGGGGAUGAGAAGAAAGGAAAGAAGAGUU
rnacentral:lncRNA from 1 species